AGCCUGAUGCAGCCAUGCCGCGUGUGUGAAGAAGGCCUUCGGGUUGUAAAGCACUUUCAGCGAGGAGGAAAGGUUAGCGGUUAAUACCCGCUAGCUGUGACGUUACUCGCAGAAGAAGCACCGGCUAACUCCGUGCCAGCAGCCGCGGUAAUACGGAGGGUGCGAGCGUUAAUCGGAAUUACUGGGCGUAAAGCGCAUGCAGGCGGCCAAGUCAGUCAGAUGUGAAAGCCCCGGGCUUAACCUGGGAAUUGCAUUUGAUACUGCUUGGCUAGAGUCCUUGAGAGGGGGGUAGAAUUUCAGGUGUAGCGGUGAAAUGCGUAGAGAUCUGAAGGAAUACCAGUGGCGAAGGCGGCCCCCUGGCAAGAGACUGACGCUCAGAUGCGAAAGCGUGGGGAGCAAACAGGAUUAGAUACCCUGGUAGUCCACGCCGUAAACGAUGUCUAUUAGGAGUCUGUGGCCUUGAGGUGUGGGUUCCAAAGCUAACGCAUUAAAUAGACCGCCUGGGGAGUACGGCCG
rnacentral:rRNA from 1 species